rnacentral:rRNA from 1 species
UACGUAGGGUGCGAGCGUUAAUCGGAAUUACUGGGCGUAAAGCGUGCGCAGGCGGUUGUGCAAGACAGAUGUGAAAUCCCCGGGCUCAACCUGGGAAUUGCAUUUGUGACUGCACGGCUAGAGUGUGUCAGAGGGGGGUAGAAUUCCACGUGUAGCAGUGAAAUGCGUAGAGAUGUGGAGGAAUACCGAUGGCGAAGGCAGCCCCCUGGGCCAGCACUGACGCUCAUGCACGAAAGCGUGGGGAGCAAACAGG